rnacentral:lncRNA from 1 species
UUUUAUCAAAAUUUCAAGUUAGUGUUGCUGUAACUUUAUGAAGAUAUUUCUCAAGUUAAAAGAGGAUCUAACUAGAUGAAAUAUUAAAUUUAGCGAAGCAGCUACCCUGGUCACUAGUAAUGACUGGUAACCAAAGUUGAUCGACCAGUACUGAGGGCAUAUCAUCUCUUACAUUGUAGACUGCUCCCUAAGGAAAUAAGAUGCAAAAGGAUAAUCAGGCAAUUGUUUAUAUACUAAGCAGCUACAUGUACACAAAACAGUAGUCUCAACUCCAUCAAGCAGCACCUUGAAAGCCACAUCAUUUUUAAAUUAAUAAGUAACAAAACAUAGACUAUAGAAAGCACUGCUUGCAAGCAGAUUGCUGGAUACAUGCCUUAUAACUUGGGACUUAGCAGAUGCUUUGAAGGGGAUUUUAUGCACGUGUAUCACAAGAAAUGUAAUGCUCACAGUGGUCAUUACCUCUUUAUGGUGUCCAGACUAUAACCUAGAUAGGGAUACACUUUGAUCCAGUAGUAGUCUUGAAAAGGAAGAGACCCACCCAUUGGAUUAUGCCGAAGAUAUGCAAUGCCUGAUAGAAGUGUCUUGGAGUGUAAUAGAUGGUAGUUAAGUUAGUUUUAGGUUGCAUAUAAUGAAUGCUCAACAAUUCUUAAUUCAAGACCAAUUUAUUUGUGUGGUAAAAUAAAAUUCUGGUAAUUGUUCACAACAAAGUUUACACUCUGGAAAAACAAUUAUGUAGCUCUUGCAAAAGGCUCUGUAAUUAAACUGCCAUGGUGAGAAAAUAUACAUACUGGGUUCAUGUCAGCAAACUGUAGCGGCAUGUCUAGGUUGAGUGAGAGUUAUAAUAAUGACUGUUAAAAGCAGCAAAAUUAAUGUUAUUUCCUUAUGGAGAGAAGUUGUUGGUUGGCUGGAAACAAGGUGCUAGAGCAUGGAAUGUGUUCCUUCUGUGUACAACUAAGUGCACUCAAAGUAUGCAGAUAAACUUCAACUUCGGACUUUUGCCAUUCUUGUGGUGGUGGGGUUCUGAUGAACAGGAAAAGAUUAAAAAAAUUCUGGCUGUUAGUGAACUGGGAAGAAAAGGAUCCUCUUGACAUUGCUGAGCAGAUUUAACUAAUUUGAGGAAAAUGAAGAAAGGUAAGCUCUUAGUCAAUAGAAGUCAUUGUCAUUGUGGUAAGAAAUGCAUAUUGUAGGCUUCUUGCACUUCUGACUUGACUUGAUUGCUACUAUGCAAAUUUUUGGAUAGUAGCUGAAAAUUUAUGCAGUAAAGAAAGCUGGUUUUCAGCAACUCCAGUUAGACAUUCUUGAAUGGAAUAGCAGUAAAACUUAUUUGUCUAGAAGGUUAGCAGGACUGUACAUAACCAUUGUUGCUGUUAUAUAGAAGUGGUUUACAACUCUGGUCACCAAUUAGUCGUGAUAGCUGGUUGUUGACUUCAAUGGGUGCCCAGUACUUGAUACAUCUACAUAUUUGUUGUAGGUCACCAGUUGUUGUUAUGUGUAGUAGAUGGGAUGGUCGUGGCUGUAGUGCUUUUGAUCAUAUGUCUGCCGUAGCAGAGCUGACCUGGGCUAAACAACAGAUCUAUCUUCUGCUAGGCAUUGACUUGCUAGAAAUAGGAGCCAAACUUCAUCAAAUCUCAUCCUACCAUCUUGACAAAAAGAUGUAUUGAAACAUGCAGUCCUUAAUAUACAAAAGGAUGAAAUGGGAUGAUGAGUACUAGACUGCUUUUCCAAUAAAGAUUUGCAAACUCACGAACAAUGGAAAGAUGUCUGCCUUUUCAUCUUUGACAGCAUGUAAAAAAAUAAUCAAAUGGGCAUAGUUGCACAUCCUAGAAAUAGCAGCUAAAUCUUCAAAUAUCUAAUUGUCGACUGCAAAGACCUGACAAAUAAUGUGAGUUCAUGGCUGCUUCCUGCACCUGUUUCGCAUAGCCCCAGCCCAUCCAAAGUACCUUGGAUUGCAGAACAACCUGCUGUGCUUGAGGAGACCAAUUGAGUCAAGUACAUCAAUAUCAAAUGGAAAUUGUAGUUGAGAUACCUGUGCUGGUGGCAUGUAAACAGCACCAUCUGAACGUGGCCGAUGCCAGUGCCGCCCUGAUUGGCUUCUGUGCCGGUGGCACGUAAAAAGCACCAACUGAUCAUGGCCGCUGCCAGCCUCAGGUGGCACGUUAAAAGCACUCACAGAUUGGUUGGCAUUAGGAAAGGCAUCCAGCUGUAGAAACACUGCCAGAUUAGACUGGAGCCUGGUGCAGCCUCCUUGCUUCCCAGACCCCGGUCGAACCGUCCAACCUGUGCUAGCAUGGAAAACGGACGUUAAACAAUGAUGAUGAUGAAUAUUGGUUAGUUCAGUUUUUAAAUCCACUUGUACCUCAGCUUUUUGGAGUUUUGUGGUUGGUUUCUAAAUCUGAUUCCAGCAAUAUACUUAAAAAGUGUGGAUUUGAUAACUAUAUUAGCAAGUCUAUGUUGUAAAUUCCCAUGUUUUUGGAUUAUGUUGAUCAGAGUAUGUGAGUAAUAAUUCCAUCUACUCAGAAUAUACUGUUGUUAGAUGUCACACAGCCUGUGAGAAAAACACUCUCUUUGGGUACAGAUUAAAGUUGUCUAAAAUAGUUCAAUUAUGACAGCACUCUUUAGUGAACAGUGGUGUGACCAAGUUCAUGUAAUAUGUUGGCUUCAUUUCACUUAUAUUACUAAUGUACUUGGAAAAGACAGGAACUUCACUGGUAAUAUAUGUAUAAGUUCUCUUUAUAUGGAGUAUAAAAAACAAUAUUUUAUGGUUUUGUCUUGAUAAGAGAUACUACUGAUUGCAAAUAGGUAGAAAAUACAGAGUAGAUAUUUUCCAGCCUUAUUUCCUUUCAGCUUGAAAUAAUAAUCCUUUCUACUAUAGGUACAAGGCCUGAAACUUUAAGGGAAUGGGGCCCGACCAGCAGAAUACAAAAAGUGGAAGAGCAAAAUGCUCCAGUUAGGUCAGACAAUCAUGGAUGGAAGCUAAUGUGGGCAUUCACCACUUCAGAUAACCUUUCAAGAUUCCUCUCAGCUUUUCUUGGUAAGGCAGGCCAUUCUGCUCAUCUCAUCCCUGUUCCUCUUUGGAGAUCUGGACCAAACUAGAACCUUAGCAAUUUCAUUAGUCUAUUUGUACAGAAUGGUUUCAAAUUUUUACACAAGGUCCAGCAAUUUUGAGGGGAGGUGAGUUGAUUACAUUGCUCCAGUGCUCAACUGGUACUUUAUUUAACUGACUCCAGAAGGAUGAAAAGUAGAUGGUGGGAUUGGAACUCAGAACAUAAAGAGCUGGAAGAAAAGCUAUUAAGCAUUUUGUCUGGCAUACUAAUGAUUCUAAAACAGGUUUCUUUCUGACUUGACAAAAAGAUAUGUCUUAGUGCAAGUGUUAAUAUGUAAUUGCAUGAUACUUGUACCUUUUGCAAAAGCAACAAAAGUAAAGUGAACUAACAUCAACUAAGAAUUGGAACCAGUUCAUCAAGAGUUUUACCUUUUUGUCUCAGGUGUUCUUAAAGAAAUAAUUCCUCAGUUUCCUUCAAAGCAAAAAAAAAAACAAAAACAAAAAAAAAACAA